AAGUCGUAACAAGGUUUCCGUAGGUGAACCUGCGGAAGGAUCAUUAACGUAUCUGCGACGGGGUGCGGUCUGCCCUGCUCCGGCCCUCAAAGGCCGUGCAGCGGGUGGCCGCCCCUGUUCACACCUCACAAACCCACUGUGAACCUUCACGGCUGAAGGAGGGCAACCUCUGGAUGCCGCAUACCAAACCCCAGUUUGUAAAGAAUGUCGUGCGGACUUUGUGCCGCCUAAACACAAAACAACUUUCAACAACGGAUCUCUUGGCUCUC
rnacentral:misc_RNA from 1 species